rnacentral:rRNA from 1 species
AGAGUUUGAUCCUGGCUCAGAUUGAACGCUGGUGGCAUGCUUAACACAUGCAAGUCGAACGGUAGGGACUUCGGUCCUGAGAGUGGCGGACGGGUGAGUAACACGUAGGAAUCUGCCUGAUAGUGGGGGAUAACCCGGGGAAACUCGGGCUAAUACCGCAUACGCUCCACGGAGGAAAGCGGGGGAUCUUCGGACCUCGCGCUAUCAGAUGAGCCUGCGUCCGAUUAGCUAGUUGGCGGGGUAAGAGCCCACCAAGGCGACGAUCGGUAGCUGGUCUGAGAGGACGAUCAGCCACACUGGAACUGAGACACGGUCCAGACUCCUACGGGAGGCAGCAGUGGGGAAUAUUGGACAAUGGGCGCAAGCCUGAUCCAGCAAUGCCGCGUGUGUGAAGAAGGCCUGCGGGUUGUAAAGCACUUUAAGCAGGAAAGAAGGCUCCAAGGCCAAUACCCUUGGAGAUUGACGUUACCUGCAGAAUAAGCACCGGCUAACUCCGUGCCAGCAGCCGCGGUAAUACGGAGGGUGCGAGCGUUAAUCGGAAUUACUGGGCGUAAAGCGCGCGUAGGCGGUCCGUUAAGUCAGCCGUGAAAGCCCCGGGCUUAACCUGGGAACUGCGGAUGAUACUGGCGGACUAGAGUGUGGCAGAGGGUGGCGGAAUUUCCGGUGUAGCAGUGAAAUGCGUAGAGAUCGGAAGGAACACCAGUGGCGAAGGCGGCCAUCUGGGCCAACACUGACGCUGAGGUGCGAAAGCGUGGGGAGCAAACAGGAUUAGAUACCCUGGUAGUCCGCGCCGUAAACGAUGAGAACUAGCCGUUGGGCACGAUUUGGUGCUUAGUGGCGCAGCUAACGCGAUAAGUUCUCCGCCUGGGGAGUACGGCCGCCAAGGUUAAAACUCAAAGGAAUUGACGG